CACUAGUCUGUAUUAGUUUUAGUAUUCGAAAAGAUGGCUUCGUUGCCGUCUCCGACACAGGUAGCUGGAAAUUCAAGUGCUAUAUAUGAAGCAUAUUACAAUGUGACUAUUGUGACAUUGAAUUAAAUGGCUCAUAGGAAUAUACAAGGUGGGCCACCAAGAAUGCCUCGGUCGCUAGGAACC